UUACACCCGAACUCAUCGAGAUAGAUAGCACGAUACUCAACGGUGUUUUGUGAUUAAAAAAACAACCAAGAUUGUGGCAAAACAAGAUGGCUUCCCUGCAUGAACCAUGGCUAGUGGAGAACGGGUUGAAGGGAUCUAGCAAGGAGAUUCGCCAUGGCAGGACUGCACACAACAUGUCGUCUUCGUCGUUGCGGAAAAAAUCGGACCUGACGCUUGUUUCCAAGGUUCGGUAUGCAAUGCUUAGGCAGUUCCUCGCCAAUCUUCAAGAGGUCAUAUUAGGGACCAAGCUCUCCGUUCUCUUCCCAGCUAUUCCAUUGGCCAUUGUUGCUGAGUGUUAUGGAUUUGGAAGACCCUGGGUGUUUGCAUUAAGUUUACUUGGACUUACACCAUUGGCUGAACGAGUCAGCUUUCUCACCGAGCAAAUUGCUUAUUACACUGGUCCAACAGUGGGAGGGCUGUUGAAUGCAACAUGCGGGAAUGCAACCGAGCUGAUCAUAGCAAUUUUCGCACUAAGCCAACAUAAAAUAGAUGUGGUCAAGUAUUCCCUUCUGGGUUCAGUCCUAUCGAACCUGCUUUUGGUUCUUGGGACCUCUCUCUUCUGUGGCGGUAUUGCCAACAUCGCAAGGGAACAAAAAUAUGAUAGGAGACAAGCGGAUGUGAACUCUCUCCUUCUUUUGCUUGGAUUAUUGUGCCAUUCGCUGCCAUUGCUGUUCCGUAUGAGUGGAGCAUCCGCUGCUCUCACAGCCGACCCAACGCUGCAGUUGUCAAGAGCAAGCAGCAUUGUCAUGUUGAUUGCAUACGUGUCAUACAUAGUCUUCCAACUAUUCACUCACAGGCAGUUGUUUGAAGCUCCAGAGGAAGCAGAAGGCGACGACGAUGGAAUAUCAGAAGAAGAGCCAGUAAUUGGAUUUUGGAGUGGGUUUAUAUGGCUAGUUGGAAUGACUGUUGUCAUUUCUCUCCUCUCUGAAUAUGUUGUAGAAACUAUUGAGGAUGCCUCGGAUACUUGGGGAAUUUCUGUAAGUUUCAUCAGCAUUAUUCUGCUACCCAUUGUUGGAAAUGCAGCAGAACAUGCAGGAGCAAUCAUUUUUGCUUUUAAAAAUAAGCUGGAUAUUUCUUUAGGUGUUGCAUUAGGGUCUGCAACUCAGAUUUCCAUGUUUGUGGUCCCACUCUGCGUCCUUGUCUCUUGGAUUAUGGGCAUUAACAUGGAUCUUAAUUUCAAUCUCCUUGAAACUGGCUCUCUCGCUCUAUCCAUUAUUGCUGUUGCCUUCACUUUACAGGAUGGCACUUCUCACUACAUGAAAGGCCUGGUUCUUCUACUGCUCUACAUUGUUAUUGGAGCUUGCUUUUUCGUAUCUAAAACACCUCUAAGUAAGGAUAUUCGUACAUCUUUAGCUCUCAACUAUAUCACCUACUUACACUAUUAUUUCCUCUAACUCAAUUGUUCACCUCAGACCAAGUAAACAUCACAAACUCGGGAGCUGAACUUGCCACAAUCCUCAGAGCUUGAUAAGCUUUGCCGUCUCGGGGGAUGUCGUUACUCCACCCCCCCCCCCCCUUUUGAUGAUGAAAUGUUUGAAACUUGAACAGAGAUUUCAUGCAUUUGUUAUUCUUUCAUAUCUGGGGCCUGACGGAAAGCUGACAAUUUGCAGUUACUAGGCCGCAUACAAGUUGUCAUGCCUUCAAAGUUGAGAUGGAUACUAUCUAUAAGUAUACCGUUGAAGCUUGAUGAAGACAGGCUAUACAAUACACAGCACAUUGUUCUGUCUGUGUAUACAUCUCUCUUAGGUGUGUUUCUCAGUUAUGCCCGUAAUUAAGUAGUGGCAGCAAAUGAGCUACACAUGUGGUGGUUUGUUUCCCUCUUGUACUGCAGCUAUCAAAAUAAAUGAAAUCGUUGUUGUUCUUUA